GGUUAAGCGACUAAGCGUACACGGUGGAUGCCCUGGCAGUCAGAGGCGAUGAAGGACGUGCUAAUCUGCGAUAAGCGUCGGUGAGGUGAUAUGAACCGUUAUAACCGGCGAUUUCCGAAUGGGGAAACCCAGUGUGUUUCGACACACUAUCAUUAACUGAAUCCAUAGGUUAAUGAGGCGAACCGGGGGAACUGAAACAUCUAAGUACCCCGAGGAAAAGAAAUCAACCGAGAUUCCCCCAGUAGCGGCGAGCGAACGGGGAGGAGCCCAGAGCCUGAAUCAGUGUGUGUGUUAGUGGAAGCGUCUGGAAAGGCGCGCGAUACAGGGUGACAGCCCCGUACACAAAAAUGCACAUAUUGUGAGCUCGAUGAGUAGGGCGGGACACGUGGUAUCCUGUCUGAAUAUGGGGGGACCAUCCUCCAAGGCUAAAUACUCCUGACUGACCGAUAGUGAACCAGUACCGUGAGGGAAAGGCGAAAAGAACCCCGGCGAGGGGAGUGAAAAAGAACCUGAAACCGUGUACGUACAAGCAGUGGGAGCCUCUUAAUGGGGUGACUGCGUACCUUUUGUAUAAUGGGUCAGCGACUUAUAUUCUGUAGCAAGGUUAACCGAAUAGGGGAGCCGAAGGGAAACCGAGUCUUAACUGGGCGUUAAGUUGCAGGGUAUAGACCCGAAACCCGGUGAUCUAGCCAUGGGCAGGUUGAAGGUUGGGUAACACUAACUGGAGGACCGAACCGACUAAUGUUGAAAAAUUAGCGGAUGACUUGUGGCUGGGGGUGAAAGGCCAAUCAAACCGGGAGAUAGCUGGUUCUCCCCGAAAGCUAUUUAGGUAGCGCCUCGUGAAUUCAUCUCCGGGGGUAGAGCACUGUUUCGGCAAGGGGGUCAUCCCGACUUACCAACCCGAUGCAAACUGCGAAUACCGGAGAAUGUUAUCACGGGAGACACACGGCGGGUGCUAACGUCCGUCGUGAAGAGGGAAACAACCCAGACCGCCAGCUAAGGUCCCAAAGUCAUGGUUAAGUGGGAAACGAUGUGGGAAGGCCCAGACAGCCAGGAUGUUGGCUUAGAAGCAGCCAUCAUUUAAAGAAAGCGUAAUAGCUCACUGGUCGAGUCGGCCUGCGCGGAAGAUGUAACGGGGCUAAACCAUGCACCGAAGCUGCGGCAGCGACGCUUAUGCGUUGUUGGGUAGGGGAGCGUUCUGUAAGCCUGUGAAGGUGUGCUGUGAGGCAUGCUGGAGGUAUCAGAAGUGCGAAUGCUGA
rnacentral:rRNA from 1 species